rnacentral:lncRNA from 1 species
UUCUACUGCGGCUGCGCAAGCUCGACGCGCGCACUCUUGUCUGCUUACGAGGGCUCCUCCCUUCAGCUUUGGUCCCUCGGGGCGUCUGGGCAGCCUACGCUUUCCGACUGGAAUCAGCCAUUUUACCAAGAAAGUUGGGUUUCUUUUACUGGCAAAUAGUACUUCAAGAGCACAGUCUUAUGUAAGAAGUACAGUCUAUAUAAAGACUGUCCAGGACAAAAACUGGCCACUCCAUUCAGCAUUGACAGCAGUAUUUAAAGCUGGUGCAUGGUGAGGUGAAGUUUCUCAAGGGCAAAGACAAUGCCUUCAUGCAUGUUCAGUGUCUGCCCCCGUGGGCUUUGAAAUGAUCGCUGACAAUGGGGGAUCUGCAGUGACUUCUCUGCCUCUGCCAAAGCCCAGGGGUGCUGCUCCCUAAUUCUAAGGAUUCUAAUGAGACUCAGAGCAGGUGUAACACAGGGCAUGGAGCUUCCUGAGCAAGAGGCUGGCUAACAAACUGUGGACGUGGUACUUAGACACAUUAAGAGACAUUACAGGGACACCUGCAAGUAUGUCUCCCUGGGGAGAAGCCAAGUGCAGAUGCUAUGGCCACAGAUGAUAUGGUUUGGCUCUGUGUCCCCACUCAAAUCUCAUCUCAAGUUGUAAUCCCUGGAUGUCGAGGGAGGGACCUGGUGGGAGGUGAUUGGAUUGGUUCGCAUGAUAGUGAGGGAGUUCUCACGAGAUCUGGUUGUUUGAUAAGUGUCUGGCAUUUCUCCUGUGCUGUCUCUCCUGCCACCUUGUGAAGAAGGUGCCUGCUUCUCCUUCGCCUUCCGCCAUGAUUGUAAGUUUCCUGAGGCCUCCCUAGCAAUGCAGAACUGUGAGUCAAUUAAACUUCCUU